GGCGCGGUGAUGACUCCAACAUGCCAUCUGAGCGCGGGUGCUGAGAUCAGAGGCUGUUUCUGAGCUG